rnacentral:rRNA from 1 species
GGUUAAGCGAACAAGCGUACACGGUGGAUGCCCUGGCAGUCAGAGGCGAUGAAGGACGUGCUAAUCUGCGAAAAGCGCCGGUAAGGUGAUAUGAACCGUUAUAACCGGCGAUGUCCGAAUGGGGAAACCCGGUGCACUUCGGUGCAUCAUCGUUAGCUGAAUACAUAGGCUAACGAGGCGAACCGGGGGAACUGAAACAUCUAAGUACCCCGAGGAAAAGAAAUCAACCGAGAUUCCCCCAGUAGCGGCGAGCGAACGGGGAACAGCCCAGAGCCUGAAUCAGCUUGUGUGUCAGUGGAACGGUCUGGAAAGGCCGGCGAUACAGGGUGACAGCCCCGUACACGAAGGCACACAGGUUGUGAGCUCGAUGAGUAGGGCGGGAC